rnacentral:pre_miRNA from 1 species
UUGCUACUCCCUCCGUUCGGAAUUACUUGUCGCGAAAAUGGAUGUAUCUAGAAUUAAAAUACAUUUAGAUACAUCCAUUUCUGUGACAAGUAAUUCCGAACAGAGGGAGUACUUC